rnacentral:rRNA from 1 species
GACGAACGCUGGCGGCGUGCUUAACACAUGCAAGUCGUACGGUAAGGCCCUUUCGGGGGUACACGGGGGGCGAAGGGGGGAGUAAAAGGGGAGUAACCGGCCCACAACUUUGGGAUAAGGCUAGGAAACGGGGGCUAAAACUGGAAAUGUGCUCCUGCUGCAGGGGGGGGGUUGGAAAGCUCCGGCGGUUGUGGAUGGAAUCGCGGCGUAUCAGCUUGUUGGUGGGGUAGGGGCCUACCAAGGCGGCGACGGGUGGCCGGCCUGAGAGGGUGACCGGCCACAUUGGGACUGAGAUACGGCCCAGACUCCUACGGGCGGCAGCAGUGGGGAAUAUUGCACAAUGGGCGCAAGCCUGAUGCAGCAACGCCGCGUGCGGGAUGACGGCCUUCGGGUUGUAAACCGCUUUCAGCAGGGACGAAGCUUUUUGUGACGGUACCUGCAGAAGAAGCACCGGCUAACUACGUG